rnacentral:lncRNA from 1 species
UGUUGACACACAAAAAGUUCAGCCCAAGUCGAAUAGCCCAAGGAAUGAAGCCCAAUUGGAAGAUCCCCAAAAUCAAAUAGCCCAAAAGAACGACCCAAUCAGGCAAUGCAGGAUAAAGGCCCAAAUAGGGAAGCCCAUGAAUGCGGUAAUACCAUCGCCCAAGGUUGCAAGUCGCCCAAGAUUUGAGCGAAUGAAUUGCCAU